rnacentral:rRNA from 1 species
UACGUAGGGCGCAAGCGUUGUCCGGAAUUAUUGGGCGUAAAGAGCUCGUAGGCGGCCUGUUGCGUCCGCUGUGAAAUCCCGGGGCUCAACCCCGGGCGUGCAGUGGAUACGGGCUGGCUGGAGGCAGGCAGGGGAGAACGGAAUUCCUGGUGUAGCGGUGAAAUGCGCAGAUAUCAGGAGGAACACCAAUGGCGAAGGCAGCUCGCUGGGACGGUACUGACGCUGAGACGCGAAAGCGUGGGGAGCAAACAGG